rnacentral:rRNA from 1 species
AGCGAACGUUUGCGGCGGGCCUAACACAUGCAAGUCGAACGAUAACCCAGCUUGCUGGGGGAAAGUGGCGCACGGGUGCGUAACACGUGGGUAAUCAACCCUUUGGAUCGGGACAACCCGGGGAAACUCGGGCUAAUACCGGAUAAGUCGUGGGAGCUCUCGGGCACCCACGGGAAAGGUCCGCAAGGGCUACCAAUGGACGAGCUCGCGGCCCAUCAGCUUGUUGGUGAGGUAAUGGCUCACCAAGGCUAAGACGGGUAGCUGGUCUGAGAGGAUGAUCAGCCACACUGGAACUGAGACACGGUCCAGACUCCUACGGGAGGCAGCAGUGGGGAAUUUUGGACAAUGGGCGCAAGCCUGAUCCAGCCAUGCCGCGUGAGUGAAGAAGGCC